UACACUCCUGCGGGAGGCAGCAGUGGGGAAUUUUGGACAAUGGGCGAAAGCCUGAUCCAGCAAUGCCGCGUGCAGGAUGAAGGCCUUCGGGUUGUAAAAUGCUUUUGUACGGAACGAAAAAGCUCCUUCUAAUACAGGGGGCCCAUGACGGUACCGUAAGAAUAAGCACCGGCUAACUACGUGCCAGCAGCCGCGGUAAUACGUAGGGUGCGAGCGUUAAUCGGAAUUACUGGGCGUAAAGCGUGCGCAGGCGGUUAUGUAAGACAGAUGUGAAAUCCCCGGGCUCAACCUGGGAACUGCAUUUGUGACUGCAUGGCUAGAGUACGGUAGAUGGGGAUGGAAUUCCGCGGGUAGCAGUGAAAUGCGUAGAUAUGCGGAGGAACACCGAUGGCGAAGGCAAUCCCCUGGACCUGUACUGACGCUCAUGCACGAAAGCGUGGGGAGCAAACAGGAUUAGAAACCCCAGUAGUCCCAUGA
rnacentral:rRNA from 1 species